rnacentral:rRNA from 1 species
UACAGAGGGUGCGAGCGUUAAUCGGAAUUACUGGGCGUAAAGCGCACGUAGGCGGCUUGGUAUGUCGGGUGUGAAAUCCCCGGGCUCAACCUGGGAACUGCAUCCGAAACUGCCUUGCUCGAGUAUGGGAGAGGGAAGUGGAAUUUCCGGUGUAGCGGUGAAAUGCGUAGAUAUCGGAAGGAACAUCAGUGGCGAAGGCGACUUCCUGGACCAAUACUGACGCUCAGGCGCGAAAGCGUGGGGAGCGAACAGG